UUGUAACUGCACCGGGCAAGAGUCAGAUCUCAACGGCGCAAAAAUAACGAAAGACCUCUUGGUGUUUUAUAAAUUUGCUUUGAUUUUUGGGGAGAAGUCCUCCCAGUAUUCUAAUUAGCCCCCGGAUUUUUGUGCGGGGUCCGGGACCCUCAAUGGGACACACACUAACGCGGCCGAUGGUAUAAAUCAGUCUGGCGGAUGCGCAUCUUACUCAGCCAACAUCAAUAGCAAUCAUCGGCCAAAAACUGCGGUGGAGAUGGCAUUGCGGUAACCUUGCUGAGCAGCUCUGGCAGUCUUUAAAACAAGAGCUGAACCCAGAUAAAAUUCUGGGUUUUUCAACAAGUACGAAUAAAAAUAAUGCCUCUUAAAUCGUCAGCGCCGUGAAUGGAACACUAAUGUAUUCCAAACGCCAGCGGUCCUUCCCGAAUGGGAACUACUAACGAAGGUUCUCCUAAAGAAGCAAUGCCCACGACGCUAGGCUGUGUAUAACGUGAAGGCUUAAUUAUCGCAGUAAACGGCUGAUCCGCCGAUGAACAGUAACAAGAUAAAAGUUCACCGCAAAGCCAAGGUGCCAGGAUCAGGGAUGUCUCAAGUUGGGUCCAUAGCAUUCUUAAUGAGGAGAGUGAGCAACAGGAAGACAUGGUACAUCUCGGAUCUUUGCAUUCCCAUUGGCCACAGAAGUAAGUAUCAGAAUA